rfam:Physcomitrella patens subsp. patens PHYPAscaffold_194 genomic scaffold, whole genome shotgun sequence.
UAAGAGGCUUUUAUAAAAGCUAUUUUUAGAUACCUUAAAUUAUUAU